rnacentral:ncRNA from 23 species
GUGAGCGCGGAGGCGAUGACGCGCGGGCUGUAAUUUGGGCACCUCGCCCGCGCCGAGCCUGGGGUGCAACCGGCCGGCUAAGAC